CUCUGGAGAUGCAGCGCGGGUCAGCCCCUGCUUGGAAGAGAUUGAGUUGGUGGUUCGGAAAGGACUGAUUCCCUGGAAACGGAGUCUCUAUUGGAAGGAAUCUGGGAUCGAAUGCCGGUGGGUCCGGUCAGGGGCCAGCUGGAGGGAGAGGAAAAAAUAGCUAGGAGAAAGAUCAGAGGAUGGCGCUAUGGUGAGGGAGGGUGGUCGUGGUGGUCGUCGGCGUGCUAACGGUGGUGGAGUCGGGUGGCCCCCAGCCGUCGGGGUUAAAUGGGACUGCGCCGACUUCAAAAACCCCAACCAUUGUUCGAUGGAUCUACGGUGGAUUUUGCCGUACUAACAGUAGUCGGGUUUUACUGUUUGAGGGAAGGGGAAAGAAAGGGACAACCCCGGAAAACGCCCUUUUAUACUGUAUUAAAUGAAUGGUUUGCCUUCAGUGUUUGGGCUUUUUGUCUUGAUUGUAG
rnacentral:lncRNA from 1 species